GAUGAACGCUAGCGACAGGCCUAACACAUGCAAGUCGAGGGGCAGCACAUGCGUAGCAAUACAAUGGUGGCGACCGGCGCACGGGUGAGUAACACGUAUGCAACCUACCUGUAAGAGGGGAAUAACCCGGAGAAAUUCGGACUAACACCGCAUAAUACCUCGAAGCUGCAUGGCUUUGAGGUUAAAUAUUUAUAGCUUACAGAUGGGCAUGCGUAACACUAGAUAGUUGGUGAGGUAACGGCUCACCAAGUCAACGAUGUUUAGGGGUUCUGAGAGGAAGGUCCCCCACACUGGUACUGAGACACGGACCAGACUCCUACGGGAGGCAGCAGUGAGGAAUAUUGGUCAAUGGGCGAGAGCCUGAACCAGCCAAGUCGCGUGAAGGAAGAAGGUUCUAUGGAUUGUAAACUUCUUUUGUAAGGGAAUAAAAAGAGUUACGUGUAACUUAUUGUAUGUACCUUACGAAUAAGGAUCGGCUAACUCCGUGCCAGCCGCCGCCGUAAGAC
rnacentral:rRNA from 1 species